rnacentral:rRNA from 1 species
UCCUGGAAACGGGUGGUAAUGCCGGAUGUGCCGGGCUCCUGCAUGGGGGUCCGGGAAAGCUCUGGCGGCGUGGGAUGGGGUCGCGUCCUAUCAGCUUGUUGGCGGGGUGAGGGCCCACCAAGGCUUCGACGGGUAGCCGGCCUGAGAGGGCGACCGGCCACAUUGGGACUGAGAUACGGCCCAGACUCCUACGGGAGGCAGCAGUGGGGAAUAUUGCACAAUGGGCGCAAGCCUGAUGCAGCGACGCCGCGUGCGGGAUGGAGGCCUUCGGGUUGUAAACCGCUUUUGUUUGGGAGCAAGCCCUUCGGGGUGAGUGUACCUUUCGAAUAAGCACCGGCUAACUACGUGCCAGCAGCCGCGGUAAUACGUAGGGUGCGAGCGUUAUCCGGAUUUAUUGGGCGUAAAGGGCUCGUAGGCGGUU